rnacentral:rRNA from 1 species
AGUGAACGCUGGCGGUAGGCCUAACACAUGCAAGUCGAACGGCAGCACAGUAAGAGCUUGCUCUUACGGGUGGCGAGUGGCGGACGGGUGAGGAAUACAUCGGAAUCUACUUUUUCGGGGGGGAUAACGUAGGGAAACUUACGCUAAUACCGCAUACGACCUACGGGUGAAAGCAGGGGAUCUUCGGACCUUGCGCGAUUGAAUGAGCCGAUGUCGGAUUAGCUAGUUGGCGGGGUAAAGGCCCACCAAGGCGACGAUCCGUAGCUGGUCUGAGAGGAGGAUCGGCCACACUGGAACUGGGACACGGUCCAGACUCCUACGGGAGGCAGCAGUCGGGAAUAUUGGGCAAUGGGCGCAAGCCUGAUCCAGCCAUACCGCGUGGGUGAAGAAGGCCUUCGGGUUGUAAAGCCCUUUUGUUGGGAAAGAAAAGCAGCAGGUUAAUACCCCGCUGUUCUGACGGUACCCAAAGAAUAAGCACCGGCUAACUUCGUG